rnacentral:lncRNA from 1 species
AAAUCAAGGGCUUAGAUCUCUUUAUUUUCCCAAGUCAUCAAAUCUCAACCCUUAAUCCCCAAAAUAAUCCGAAACACCACUGUGAGGAGCUCAACGCCGUCAGCCUCACCGUAAUCCGCCGUGAAACUUCCCCGGAGCCCAACCCGCCACCGCCAUCUUCUUUUCCACCCCUUUUGGUAAGUUUCCUCUUCCCUUUAUUCUCUCUAUUGUUCCCCUUAUUUUCUUCCCCCAAAACCCUAAUUCUACAGUACUUGAAUUCGGUUCUGCAUUCAUGUUAAUUUCAAGGUUAUUUGAUUUCUCAAUGAGUACUGUUAUUUUUCUCAAUAAGCUAUUUACUAUAAGUUCAUAUACUAUAAGCUAGCUUAUCAGCUUUCCGCUAUUGCUGCAUAAAUGUUGUUAAGGAUGAUGAGCUAAUGAUGGAAACUUAGGUACUUAAUAGUUGUUAAUAAUUGGAAAAUAUACUGCAGAAUUGGCAAUUCAUAUUAGUAAAGUAAGAUAUCAACGGUUAAGGUCGUAAUGAAUUUAGUACAGAACAAUGAUAGGUAUCAAUGUUAAAAUAGUGAUUGCAUAGAGUAGUAACUAUUGAGUGUGCCGAUGAUUUGUGAUGCCAUGGAAAGUAAAAUCUUUAUUUGUUAUAGGAUAGUUGUUAGAAUAUAAGAAAAACUCUUCUAAUAUCAAUGUUAGACUCUGAAGCACAGGUACUCCUAAAUUGGUGAAGUAACUGUAUCGUAUCGGGUACAUACCAGUACAGGGUACAUGUACUGUAGUCGUACCAUACGUACCAGACCUACCCAUUUUUAGUUAGUUGAUUCACGUUAGUGGAUACAACGAAAAGGUGCAGGUCGUUGAAAUAUAGUAGAAGUCAUUUUGGUUUUUUAUUGUAUUUCAAUUGUCUCUCUUGCUUUUGAUGAAAAUAGGGAGGCCGUGAACAAAACAAGUGAAUCUCUGAAGCAUGACGAUAGAAGUGUGGUUAAGUACAUGGUUAAAAUAUGAAUAGUAUUAUACUAUUUUUAUUAUAAUUGGAUUUUUUUUUUUCGCAGCAUGUUUCUACAACAACAAUGGUAGAGUAAUUCACUGAAAAAGAU